rfam:Ictidomys tridecemlineatus contig007891, whole genome shotgun sequence.
GGAAUUGUGGCUCUGUGGUAGAGCACUUGCCUCGGAAGCAUGAGGAACUGGGUUUGAUCCUCAGCACCA